rnacentral:tRNA from 1 species
GGGUCUAUCGUCUAAUGGAUUAGGACAGGUACCUUCUAAGUACCCAAUGUAGGUUCGAUCCCUACUAGACCUA